GUCCACGCCCUAAACGAUGUCAACUAGUUGUUGGGGAUUUACUUCCUUGGUAACGUAGCUAACGCGUGAAGUUGACCGCCUGGGGAGUACGGCCGCAAGGUUAAAACUCAAAGGAAUUGACGGGGACCCGCACAAGCGGUGGAUGAUGUGGAUUAAUUCGAUGCAACGCGAAAAACCUUACCUACCCUUGACAUGGCAGGAACUUUCCAGAGAUGGAUUGGUGCUCGAAAGAGAACCUGCACACAGGUGCUGCAUGGCUGUCGU
rnacentral:rRNA from 1 species